AACAAAUAUUAAAGGCAACGCCUGCCCAGUGAACAAUUCAACGGCCGCGGUACCCUAACCGUGCAAAGGUAGCAUAAUCAUUUGUCUAUUAACUGUAGACCUGCAUGAAAGGCAAAAUGAGGGUUCAACUGUCUCUUAUAAUAAAUCUAUUAAACUGAUCUCCUAGUAAAAAAGCUAGAAUGCCAACAUAAGACCAGAAGACCCUGUGAAGCUUGAACUAAACCAUUAAACCAAAUAAUGAUUACUUUCGGUUGGGGCGACCUUGGAAAUAAAAAAAACUUCCAAACAUAAAUAUUAUACAUAUUACCACAGGCCAACAAGCCAAUUAAAACGACCCAGUAAAACUGAUAACUGAAAAAAGUUACUCCAGGGAUAACAGCGCUAUCUUCUUCAAGAGCCCAUAUCAAAAAGAAGGUUUACGACCUCGAUGUUGGAUCAGGACAUCCUAAUGGUGCAGCCGCUAUUAAGGGUUCGUUUGUUCAACGAUUAAUGUCCUACGUGAU
rnacentral:rRNA from 1 species